UACAGAGGUCCCAAGCGUUGUUCGGAAUUACUGGGCGUAAAGGGCUCGUAGGCGGCCAACUAAGUCAGACGUGAAAUCCCUCGGCUUAACCGGGGAACUGCGUCUGAUACUGGAUGGCUUGAGUUCGGGAGAGGGAUGCGGAAUUCCAGGUGUAGCGGUGAAAUGCGUAGAUAUCUGGAGGAACACCGGUGGCGAAGGCGGCAUCCUGGACCAACACUGACGCUGAGGAGCGAAAGCCAGGGGAGCAAACGGG
rnacentral:rRNA from 1 species